AAUCUUUCGCAAGGGGCGAAAGCCUGACGCAGCCAUGCCGCGUGAAUGAUGAAGGACUUAGGAUUGUAAAAUUCUUUCACCGGAGACGAUAAUGACGGUACCCGGAGAAGAAGCCCCGGCUAACUUCGUGCCAGCAGCCGCGGUAAUACGAAGGGGGCUAGCGUUGCUCGGAAUUACUGGGCGUAAAGGGCGGGUAGGCGGAUCGUUAAGUCAGAGGUGAAAUCCCAGGGCUCAAACCUGGAAAUGCCUUUGAUAAUGGCGAUCUUGAAUAUGAGAGAGGUAAGUGGAAAUCCGAGUGUAGAGGUGAAAUUCGUAGAUAUUCGGAAGAACACCAGUGGCGAAGGCGACAUACUGGCUCAUUACUGACGCUGAGGCGCGAAAGCGUGGGGAGCAAACAG
rnacentral:rRNA from 1 species